rnacentral:rRNA from 1 species
CAGGCCUAACACAUGCAAGUCGAGCGGAGCGAGGGUGCUUGCACCUUAGCUUAGCGGCGGACGGGUGAGUAAUGCUUAGGAAUCUGCCUAUUAGUGGGGGACAACAUUCCGAAAGGAAUGCUAAUACCGCAUACGCCCUACGGGGGAAAGCAGGGGAUCUUCGGACCUUGCGCUAAUAGAUGAGCCUAAGUCGGAUUAGCUAGUUGGUGGGGUAAAGGCCUACCAAGGCGACGAUCUGUAGCGGGUCUGAGAGGAUGAUCCGCCACACUGGGACUGAGACACGGCCCAGACUCCUACGGGAGGCAGCAGUGGGGAAUAUUGGACAAUGGGCGGAAGCCUGAUCCAGCCAUGCCGCGUGUGUGAAGAAGGCCUUUUGGUUGUAAAGCACUUUAAGCGAGGAGGAGGCUCUUAAGGUUAAUACCCUUGAUGAGUGGACGUUACUCGCAGAAUAAGCACCGGCUAACUCG